rnacentral:lncRNA from 1 species
AAAGAAACGAAAAGCCUUAAAACGCCACAGUGCAGUGGCCAUAACUAUAAUCCCGGGGACUCUGGAAACUGAAGCAGGAGGAUCACAAGUUUGAGGUCAGCCCAACAAUUUAGGGAGACCCUGUGCCAAAAUUUAGGGGGAAAAAAGCUGGGCUCAGUGGCACAUGCCUGUAAUCCCAGCAACUUGGGAGGCUGAGGAAGGAGGAUGGCAAGUUCAAAGCCAGCCUCGGCAGCUUAGCAAGGCCUUGUCUCAAAAUAAAAAAAUAAAAAGGGAUGGGGAUGUGGCUCAGUGGUUAAGUGCCCCAGGGUUCAAUUUCUGGUACCAUAAUAACAAUAAUAAUAGUUAAUUUUUUUUAAAGAUUAGGAAUGUAGUUCAGUGGUAGAGCAUCUACCUAGCUUGUGAGAGAGCCUAUGUUUAAUCCUCAGUAUCACAAUAAAUAAUAAAUAGCCUUAGGACACAGAGAAGAAAACAGAGAAUGGAGUGAGAGGAAAGAGGGGACAGGGAUAGAAGUGGCCAGAGAAGAUCAAGGAGAUGCAAGAAGGAGCAGAUAGAUUGAGAAGUGAUGUCAUACCAGAGUGGCUCCUGGCAUGGAACUGGUUUUCCUUGCUCUGGGGACUGGGCCCUGUUAAGGAGCCCUGCUGUGACCAGUGGUGGACCUCGAGUGGAUAAGAGAGAUGAAUGAGCCCCACUCCUGCCUUCCAGUGAGGCUGAAAUGGAAAUCCAGGACACAGGAGAGAAGGGAGGGAGGACAAUCAAUGCUGAUUGAACCUAGUAGACCACGUGUCAGGCACUUCCACACACAAUGUUUCUUUUUAUUCUUGUAACAGUUAAGAAUGAAGCCAGGUGUGGGGGUGCAUGCCUGUAAUCCCAGCAACUCAGAAGGCUCAGACAGGAGGACUGCAAAUUUUAGGCCAACCUGGGGCCAUGUAUUGAGUGAGACCCUGUCUCAAGAUAAAAAAUGAAAAGGGAUCGGGAUGUGGCUCAGUGGUAGAGCAUCCCUGGGUUUAAUACCGUGUGUGUAAAAGGACAUUGACUGUGACUACCCCAAUGUCCCCAGUUGAGGUAGAAUGUCACCAGGCUCUGACCCUCAGCCUGGGAGAUAGAAUUCCCUCAUUCACCUCUUAAUACUUGAAGUAGUCUCGGGGCUCUGAGGAGGGACUCCUGACCACUCCCGACCAGGUCGGGGGAUCAUACAUGAGCUCAGGUGUAGGUUUCACGCCCCAGGAAGAUGCAGCUGGAGAAGGAGCUGGCCUCCGAGCUGUGGCGAGUGCGCUGGGAGGACCUGCAGCCCAGCAGCCUGGAGAGGCACCUCCGAAGCGCGGGCAGCCGGCUGACCUUGAGCGGGGUGAGAAUGCUGGUGUCUGAGGGGGCUGGGGGGUGUCACUGGUGUUCGCGAGGGGGCCCUGGGUACCCAGAGCAGUAGGGUAGAAAACAGGGCUCCACGCCCACCUCUGCCUUCCUUUGCUUCAUGACCUUGAGCAAGGCCAUUGCCUCUCUGAACUGGGCUCAUGGUGAUUGCAUCUCUAGAGCCUCCCUCCAGGGGCUCUUGGAAAGAUCAAAGGAGGCAGUAUAUGGGACAACACAAACAUAAAACCAGUAAGCGAGGGGAGGUUUCAUGAUGUGGAACAUCAAGGAGGGUGACACAAAGCUAAGGAAGGGUAGGAAAGACCAGAGCACAAGCACCCAGGGGCAUCCGGGCCUCUAGGCUGAACCCCUGUUCUUCACCCCUUCAGAGAGGCUCCAAUUACGGCUCCCUGCUAACCACAGAGGGCCAGUUCCAGGUGUUUGCCAAGACAGCGUACUACAAGGUGGGCCUGGGGAGACUUCUGGUCCUGGGUACUGUGGAAGUGUGCUCUGUGGCAGAGGGUGCCAGGGUGGGCUGUCAAGGGGCAGUUGGAGAUCCUCAGGGGAGUGGGGUGCCAUUGGGAGCAGCUGGGGGUCUUGGAGGGCGGCGUGAGCUGUCGGGAGCAGGUGGAGGUGCCAGGGCACCAGGUCAUGCUCCACACAGUGACAGUCUCCAUUCCUUUCUCAGGGCAACCUGGUGGCUGUGAAACAUGUGAAUCGUAAACGCAUUGAGCUGACAAGAAACGUCCUGUUUGAACUGAAGCAUGUAAUGUGGGGGUGUGAGGCGGUGGCCUGGGGAAGAGUCCCCUGCCGGGAGAUGGCCAACUGAGCUGUCUGUGGAGGUUUUGGUUUUCAGAGUGUCCUAGGAAAGCUAGGGUCUGUGAACCUGGGAUGGGCCCUUGCAUCCUGGGGAUGGGAUUAGGGGACCCAUCAUGAGAAGAGAGAUGAGAUCUCUGGAGAUACCCUGGAGGAAGACCCUUGAGGGACCUUACAUGGUGACCUGGGGAAUAAAAGGCAAGGAGGCAGAGGGUGUAGGAAGCAGAUUGUGGGGGAGAAGGGCCCAGUGGACAGGUUUGCAAACAAUGAAUAGGGAGUUAAGGGGGAGGGUCCCUGAGGCCAGAGAGCAAUCUGGUGAGGAGUGAGGUCUCUGUGAUGCUCCUGAUGCUGCUUCUCACCUGCAGAUGCGGGAUGUACAGAAUGAACACCUGACCAGGUUUGUGGGUGCCUGCACUGACCCCCCCAACAUCUGUAUCCUCACAGAGUACUGUCCCAGAGGGAGCCUGCAGGUGAGGGGACAAGGGAGUGUUAGUGAACCUGGGUUCCAAGCUGGGCAUGGCUGGGCAUGCCUGUAAUCCCCGCUACUUUGUGAGGCUGAGACAGGAGGGUUGCAAGCUCAAGGGCGGCUUCAGCAACUUAGCAAGACCCUGUCUCAAAAUGAAAAUGGCUGGGGAUGUGGCUUAGUAAUAGAAACACCCUUGGGUUCAAUCCCUGGUACCACAGGGAAAAAAAAAAUCCGGAAAUCUGGGUUCUAGCCCUGGCUUUGUCCCUGACUGGCCACAGGAGCCUAGCAAGCCUCCCUCCCUCUUUUUGGCCUUUAGUGGCCCCAUCUGUAAAAUGGGAAUGGGGGAAAUGCAGCUAGAGUAAAUCCAGUGUGGUCAGUAGGACCCUUGCCUCCUCCUCCCACCCCUAUGGAGGUCUGUGGGGUACAGGUCUGACUCUCCCCAGCAGGACAUUCUGGAGAAUGAGAGCAUCACCCUGGACUGGAUGUUCCGGUACUCACUCACCAAUGACAUUGUCAAGGUAAGCCCAGAGGGGCCACUGGGUGUUGGGGGUUGGGAUGAGGAAUGAGUAUGCUUCUCCCCUGGCCCUGGUUGUAGGUCCCCUCAUGCCCAAGACCUCUGCCUCCCCAAAUUUCCCAGGGAAUGCUGUUUCUACACAAUGGGGCCAUUUGCUCCCAUGGGAACCUCAAGUCAUCCAACUGUGUGGUAGAUGGGCGCUUUGUGCUUAAGAUCACCGACUAUGGGCUGGAGAGCUUCAGGGACCCGGAGCCAGAGCAAGGACACAUCCUUUAUGCCAGUGAGCCCAACUCUUAACCCUCAACCCCCCUACCCGACAAGCACCACCAGGAUAGCUUAGUAGGGAGACUGUGGCCUGGGAUCUGCCUGGCUCGGGCAUGCCUCUACUGAAUCCAAAGUCAGUUCUCAUUAGCAAAAAGGGGAAGACAGAGCUCUUCCCCGUUCUAAACACAGUGUGCUGUUCAGACCAGUCCCAGCCACAAGCUGGUUCACAGCUUUCCCCCACCCCUCCCCCACCGGAAGCUCUCUUUCCCAGCAUCAUUGCAUAUUCUUCUUUAUUUCUAUUAUUGCUUUUUUUGGCCAUGAAAGCUUAUAUUCAUUGCUAGUUUUUCUUUUCCCACUAGACUAUAAAGUCCCUCAUCCCUUCGCUUUGGGGUCCUUCACCACGUGACUCCUAAUGUCUGACCCACAGAAAAGUUAUGGACAGCUCCUGAGCUUCUGCGAAUGGCUUCGCCCCCUUCUCGAGGCUCCCAGGCUGGUGACGUGUACAGCUUUGGGAUCAUCCUCCAGGAGAUUGCCCUGAGGAGUGGGGUCUUCCAUGUGGAAGGUUUAGACCUCAGUCCCAAAGGUGAAAGAGCCACAAUGUCCCCUACCUCUAACCCCAGCCCCAGGGAGAGGGACCCUUGGAAGCAUCCCUAACCCUUCCUUCUGAGAUGGGGCCUGGCCACCACCCUUUGUUCCACUGAUGCCAGCCCAGCUGGUCCUAGGCUUCCCUAACCAACUCCAGCUGGCUGCCCCAGCCUCUCACUGGGCCCCUGGCUAACCCCUCUCCCCCACCCAAUACAGAGAUCAUUGAGCGUGUGACUCGGGGUGAGCAGCCCCCCUUCCGGCCCUCCCUGGCCCUGCAGAGCCACCUGGAGGAACUGGGGCAGCUGAUGCAGCGGUGCUGGGCCGAGGACCCACAGGAACGGCCACCCUUUCAGCAGAUCCGCCUGACACUCCGCAAGUUUAACAGGUCACUGGUGUUAGUCAUGGCCGCCUUCCCUCCCCACUCCAGACACUACAACCCCACACUUCAGUCUAUCUGCAGCCACAGAGGGAGCCACUCCAGCCACACAUGGCUCACCCCAGUCCACCGCAGCCUCUCAGCCCUCUGUACAACUCGGCUGUCCUCUCAGCCUCCUACCAUUCAGACCCCUUUCUUCCACCUACAGCAACACCCCAAGCCCUGCCCACUCUCCCACACUGGGCACAGUGGUGUGCAGAAUAAAUGGGCCACACAGCUUUGGCCUCUCCUUCGCUCCCCAUAUCCUCAGCCCUCCCCAUGAGCUCCUGCCCCAGCCCGAUGGUCUCCCUUUCCCAGUGGAGCUCAGAGAUCCCCAGACACACCUGUCUGCUGCCUGUGUGCCUGUCACUUUGUCCUUAGCUCAUCCUUGUCCCUAUCCACCUUUUUUAUUUUUUUUUUGGCACUGGGGAUUGAACCCAGGGACACUCUAUCUACUACUGAACUACAACCCCAGCCCUUUUUAUUUUCUUCAUUUAUUUUUAAAUAUUUUAAAAUUAUAGAUGGACAUAAUACCUUUAAUUAAUUAAUUGAUUGUUUUUAUGUGGUGCUGAGAAUCAAACCCACUGCCUCACACAUGCCAGACGAGUGCGCUACCACUGAGCCACAACCCCAACCCCUUUUAAAUUUUUUUUUUUUAAUUUUAAUUUUUAUUUUUUAGAUGUUGAUAGACUUUAUUUUUUUAUUUAUACAUGGUGCUGAGAAACGAACCCAGGGCCUCACACAUGCUAGGCAAGUGUGCUAUCGCUAAGCCACAAUCCGAGCCCCAAGCCCUUUUCAUUUUAAGUCUUGGUCUCACUAAAUUGCCCAAGCUGGCUGGGUCCAUAGCGCACACCUAUAAUCCCAGUGACUGAAGAAGUUGAGGCGGAGGAUCCUUAAAUUCAAGACCAGCCUGGGAGGCCAUGUCUUUUUUCUUUUGUUCUUUUCUUUCUUUCUUUGGUACCGGGAUUGAAUCCCAGGGGUGCUUAACCACUGAGCCACAUCCCCAGCCCCUUAUUUUAUUUAGAGUUGCUUAGGGACUUGCUAAGUUUCUCACGCUGGCUUUGAACUCAGUCCUCCUCCCUCCACUGGGAUUACAAGUAUGUGCCAUGCACCCUGCUUUGAGACCAUGUCUUAAUGAAAAGGUCUGGGGAUGUAGCUCAGUGGUAGAGCACCCCUGGGUUCAAUCCCCAGUACCACCACCACAGUAAUAAUAAUAAGGCUGGCCUUGAACCUGUUAAACUCCCAAGUUGCUGGGGUCACAGGUGUGUGCCACCGUGCCCCCACCCCACCUCCUUCCAACUCACUCAUGUUCAAUGAAGGUAAACAAGCUGUCAAAAUGUCUAAAGCUUCCUUCUUGACCCUGGGUUCUCAGAGAUGAAUUGAACUUUCCUCCCAUCCUUCUCACCUGCUCACCCCUAUCCUGCUGUGCCCCAAUUCUCACCUUCACAAGGGACCUGCUGCAGCUGGAGGUGGGCUGACAGUAAGCCUAGGGAGGGGGAGGGCCUGGGGGGAGGGCUCUCCAGGGCAGACCCCUGCAGCUCGGCUCUCACCCGGCUGCCCUGGCCCCUCAGAGAGAACAGCAGCAACAUCCUGGACAACCUGCUGACCCGCAUGGAGCAGUAUGCCAACAACCUGGAGGAGCUGGUGGAGGAGCGCACGCAGGCCUACCUGGAGGAGAAGCGCAAGGCAGAGGCCCUGCUCUACCAGAUUCUGCCUCAGUGAGUGCCCAUCUCUUCAGACCCGCCCCCCCCACACACACUCAGCCCCUGACCCCACCUCACACUCUGGUCUACACCUGCCCUGACCCCUCAGCUCAGUGGCUGAGCAGCUGAAACGCGGGGAGACAGUGCAGGCGGAGGCCUUUGACAGCGUGACCAUCUACUUCAGUGACAUCGUGGGCUUCACCGCCCUGUCAGCAGAGAGCACACCCAUGCAGGUAAGCCAGGGGCAGUCACAGGUGGCAGACCAGGUGGGUCAGCUUGGUGUCACUUCUCCGUCCCCAAGGUCUGCCUUCUGGUUCCCUCCUCCCACCCCACCCCAGGGAGCACCCUUCCUUCCAGUCCCAGUGGCUUCUUGUGCCUUCCAGGUGGUGACCCUGCUCAAUGACCUGUACACUUGCUUUGAUGCAGUUAUAGACAACUUUGAUGUGUACAAGGUAGGGAUGGGAAGGGACAGACAGACGUGGACAGGGUCAAAAAACGGUGAGGUUCAGGCGUAUGAAAGAGAAGUCCAGGGCACAUGAGCAGUGACUGGGGGGGGGGGACCCACCCGGGACCCACCCACCCACCCACAGGCAGAGGGGCGGGGUGAGCGCAGGGCGGGAGCCGGUGCGCGUGGGUGUGGCCGGCAGGUGGCCACAGGGAAGGGAGUUCCCGCCCUCCUGCCCCGCCUUGUCUCGCGCCCCACAGGUGGAGACAAUCGGCGACGCCUACAUGGUGGUGUCGGGACUCCCAGUGCGGAACGGGCGGCUCCACGCACGCGAGGUGGCCCGCAUGGCCCUGGCGCUGCUGGACGCGGUGCGCUCCUUCCGCAUCCGCCACCGGCCCCAGGAGCAGCUGCGUUUGCGCAUCGGCAUCCACACAGGUGCGGAGGCCCGGAGCAGGGACCGGAGGGGUCUCCUGGAGGUGGAGCUCCGCGAGGAGAACGCCCCUGGGACCAGCACCUCGGCCCCAUCUCGGUCUCCCCCUCCCUGUCCCCACUCCCCCCGUCUCUCCUCCCUUCCCUCUCCCUCUCUCCCUCUCCUCCCCUCUUAGCCCACCUCCUGCCUCUCCUGGGGCGCCUACCAGUCUCCCUUAACUCCCUUCUCACCCCUGCUACUGCUGAUGGACUCUGUUCCCUCCCUUGUCCCUCCUAGGACCUGUGUGUGCUGGCGUUGUAGGGCUGAAGAUGCCCCGUUACUGUCUUUUUGGGGACACUGUCAACACUGCCUCAAGAAUGGAGUCCAAUGGGGAAGGUAUAGUGGCCCUCCUAGAGGGGAGGAGGAGGGCCGGGUAGCCAAAGGAAUGGCCGCACUGUGGCAGCUUAAUUUAGGCAGUCCCUGUUCUGGCUUCUAGUCCUUUCUUCUCCCACAUGCCCUUCUCAUAAUGCAGAUGACUCUCCUCUUAGGAUAGGGUUACAUUGUAAGUUGAAAAUAUCCUAGGUUGAAAAUACAGUAACACACCUGACCUCUGGGAAUAUCAUGGCUUAUGUAGCCCACCGUAAACGUUCUCGGAACACUUACAUUAGCCCAAAGCCAGCAAGACUCCCUAACACAAAGCCUGUGUUGUAAUAAAGUAUUGAAUAUCUCAUGUUCACACAUAGGCGAGUGUUUGUAGACAUGAUGGGAUGUGAAAACAAAAUGCAAUAUCCAAAAGAUGCUAGCAGCACAAUGUACCCUGGAGCACAGGCUCUUCACCUUUGGAGUCAUGUGGCAGACCCUGAGCUGCGGCCCAGUGCUGCUGCCACCCACAAGGGCAUGAGGACAUGUGCUGCACAUAUGCCCAGGAAAAGAUCAGAAUUCAAACAAUUGAAUGUAUGUGGCUUUCACAUGAUCACAAGUCAAAAGAUUGGACUAUAAUAAAAGUCAAGGACCAGCUGAGCAUAGUGGUGUACCCUGUGCAAGGCUGAGGCAGGGGACUUGCAAAUUCAAAGCCAGCCUAAGCCACUUAGCAAAACCCUGUCUCAAAAUAAAAAAAAAAAUAAAAAAUAAAUAAAACGUUCUGGGGCUGGGGUUUGUGGCUCAAGUGGUAGCGCGCUUGCCUGGCAUGCGUGAGGCACUGGGUUCGAUCCUCAGCACCACGUAAAAAUAAAUAAGUGAAAUAAAGGUAUUGUGUUCAACUACAACUAAAAAAUAAAUAUUAAAAAAUAAAAAUAAAAAGUUCUGGGGACGUAGCUCAGCGGUAAAGCACUUCUGGGUUCAAUCCCCAGUACCAAAAAAAAGUAUUUCUGGGUCAGUGUUCAACAGUGCCUAGCAGGAAUCACACCUUUAAGGCCCUCUGCUCCAUCUUUGGUGUGGUGAAGAUGAUUGCAAAGGCAGACAACUCUCAGUUCCAGAGCUAGCUGUAUCAAUGUGCUAUCCCUCUCUGAGUCCUGGUUUUCCUGAUCUGUAAAAUGAAGGUAAAGUAUCUACCUCAUGCGGGGCGCAGUGGCACACACCUGUUAUCCCAGUGGCUCAGGAGGCUGAGGCAGGAGGAUCGUGAGUUCAAAGCCAGCCUCAGCAAAAACGAGGUGUUAAGCAACUCGGUGAGACCCUGUCUCUAAAUAAAAUAUAAAAUAGGGCUGGGGAUGUGGCUCAGUGGUUAAGCACCCCUGGAUUCAAUUUCUGGUACCAAAAAACAAACAAAAAAAAUCUACCUCGUAAGGAAUAUGUGAGAAGCUGUACAAAUGCCUAGCACAUGAAUGUCACUCAACUUUUUCGAGACUCAGCUGCUUAUCUGUAUCUCAGGGUUGUUAAAAAAAAAAAAAAUCAAAAACCAAACAACCCUAGCACAGCUUCUGGCACACAGUAGGUAUCUGUAAAUGCUUGCUCUCACCCUUUCCCUUCAUCUUGCUUUCUGUUUCUCUGCUAUCCAGCUUCUUCUGUAUUUGACACAAUUCAAGUCAGUAAAUAUUUAUUGAGCCAUAAAUACCUGUGCCAGGCCAGAGUUUAGCUGAGGAGUCUAUGUGGACCCCAUCCAAGGGUCCAGCCCUGGGAGCCCUGUGGGGUCUGGUUCAGCAGAUAUUCCCUGGGCCCUGUGUUUGAGGCUCCGGGGUAGGAGAGAGCUUCUCCCUGAGGUCCUCAAGGAGCAUAUUCUCAGAAAUGGCUAACAAGAGGCCACAUGAUGCAGACCCGGGGAGAAGUAUCAUGAGGUCAGAUAGUGGCCAGAGAAAGAGUAUGGGACUGGUGGGCCCAUCACUGAUCUCCUCGGCAGCUGGGGCAGAUCUUCUGCCCUGGGUCUCAUUUCCUCAGCCAUAAAAUGAGAGGAUGGAGUCACCUAACAGAUAGCAAGGACUUAGGUAAAGCUUCCUAUGGGCCGCGUUUUGUUUGAAUUAUUCAUUUAUUUAUUUAUGGUGCUGGGGAUCCAACCCAGAUGAAUAAUUUUAAUCCUCACAACAGGAACGCAUCCCUUUGAGAUGGUGCUUUCUCUAUCAGCAUCUCAUAGAUUUAGAAAAUGAGACACAGUUUAUAUUAAUUACCCAAGCAAAUGUCUAAGGGAUUCAUGCUGAGGCAGAGCAGGAUCCACAGCUUCUAACCACUAUGCUACACUGUCCCUCUGGAUCUGAACGAUACUCUGUAACAAUACUGCCCAGUAGUAUUUUUUUAGAUGUUAUUGUAUUUUUUAAUGCCUUUAUUUAAUUAAUUUAUUUGUUUUUAUGUGGUGAUUGAACCCAGUGUCUCACUCAUGCCAGGCAAGUACUCUAUUACUGAGCUAUAACUGCAAUCUCCAAUAGUAUUUUCUUGUGCAGUACAGGGAAUCAAACUCAGGGAUGAUCUACCAGUGAGCUAUGUCCCCAGCUCUUUUAAUUUUUUAAAAAUUUUAUUUAGGUCUCACUAAGAUGUCAAGGCAGAGGAGUCAGGCAUGGUAGAGCACGCUUGUAAUCUCAGUGGCUCAGGAAGCUGAGGCAGGAGGAUUGCAAGUUUGAGGCCAGCCUCAGCAAUUUAGCAAGGCCCUAAGCAACUUAGUGAGACACUGCCUCAAAAUAAAACAUAACGGCUAGGAUCGUGGUUCAGUGGCAGAGCACUUGUCUAGCAUAUGUGAGGCACUGGGUUCGAUUCUCAGCACCGUGUAUCCAUAAAUAAAAUAAAGGUCCAUUGACAACUAAAAAAUAUAUUUAAAAAAAUAAAACAUAAAUAGGACUGGGGAGGUGGCUCAGUGAUUAAGCACCCCUGGGUUCAAUCCCUGGUAUAUAAAAAAGUCAAGGCUGGCCUUGAAUUUGCGAUCCUCCUGCCUCAGCCUCCUGAGUUGCUGGGAUUAUAGGCAGCCAUGUGCUGCCACUCCUGGCUCCAAAACUAUUUUCUGCAGUCAUGAAAAUGUCCUGCAACUUUUACUGUCCAGUAUUGCGAACUUUAGUCACAUGUGGCUAUGGAUCCCUUGAAGUGUGUCUAAUACAACCAAGGGUCAGAAUCUUUGGUUGGGUUCUGAUCUUGAACUGGGGAUUGAACCCAGGGGUGUUUUACCACUGAGCUACAUCCCCAGACCUUUGAAUUUUUUAUUUUGACACAGGGUCUCACUAAAUUGCUGAGGCUGUCCUUGAACUUGUGACCCUCCUGCUUCAGGCUCCCAAGUGGCUGUGAUUACAGGCGUGCACCACUGAGCCCAGCAAGGCACUGAAUCUUUAGCUGUAUAUCGUUUCAGUUAAUUUAGACAGGCACAUGUGACUAAUGGGACCAUGUUAGGCAGCACAGCUCUAAAAUUCUAAAGGAGCCAAUAUAGUCACACAGUAUAGUCACACAUGCAUAGAGAGGGUGGGACUUCUCUGAGUUAAGAGGCUUUGGGGCCAAAGGAUGGAGGAGGGCAUCUGUCUACCCCAGUCCCCGGGUCUCCUCUGCCUGCUCCGUCCCCGCACUCCAUCUCCCUUCCCCUGUCCUACUCAGCGCUGAAGAUCCACCUGUCUUCUGAGACCAAGGCUGUCCUGGAGGAGUUUGAUGGUUUUGAGCUGGAGCUUCGAGGGGAUGUGGAAAUGAAGGUAGAGAAAGAAGUCCCUGCCAUCACGGUCCCUGGGGUCCUGGAGCGGGGGUACCCUUCUCCAGCAGCCAAUGCCACUCCCAUUUCUAGGCCUCCUAUCUGAUUUGGGACAGUAGUUGUGCCGCUCCCCACCCCAACCUUUUAUUUUUUAUUUUUUUUCCUCCAGGGCAAAGGCAAGGUCCGGACCUACUGGCUCCUGGGGGAGCGGGGGAGUAGCACCAGAGGCUGACCGGCCCCCCUUGCUGUCCUUCCAUACCUCCGAUGCCUGGUCUCCACCUCUCCCCAGCAGCCCCACCACUGCAGAAGGAUGAGAGAGCCGUGGUUGGAACAGCUCAGGCCCCCAGACCCCAGUAGAGACCCCGGGUGUGACUCUGAGAGACGACUGGCAUAGGGAAGAACCCAGAGCUCACAGGACCGACCUAAUCACACACUCACACAAAAUGGCACCGGUGUAGGCACAUGUCCCCUCCGCCUCCCCUAACGGGCUCCUCCUCCCUCGGCCUUGCUACACUGUGACUUUUAUUAAAAUUACCAUAGGGGAUAUGAAAAGGGACUCUAGUGAAAGGAGGGGGUAGAAGGUCCAGAUGUGGGCCUGAGCCACAGGGAUCACAAAUACCAUCCCACCCAUAGCCACCACCCACCCCUCCACUCAACAGUGGGCACAAUGCACAGGUGUGAAGAGGGGCCAUGGGGAGAGGCUGUGGUCCUGUGCGCCUUGUUCUCCUGUGAACAGACCAUUAAAACCUUUAUUCCAGUGACAGUGUCUCUUCUUAAGGGAGAGAGCAUUGCCAGAAAACAUAGCCAUGUUCUCUACCUUCUGCUUCGAAAAGACUAGUUUCUCCAACUGGGAAUGUAGAUUCUGAAAAAGCCGGCAGUCACCUGCAGCUUUGAGGAGACCACGGAACCCUCUGUGAAUUUUGCAGAAGUGCAGAACCUUUGUUUAUGUGGGUUAUACUUAUUGAUAUCGGUCGUAUUAGACAUAAAAAUAACCACAGCGAAGAAAGUGAAAUGAAUGCUUAUUGAUUGAGUCAUUCAGGAUAACAAUAAUAAACGCAUUAUAUGUUAAUAAUUUUUUACUACUUUAUU